AUGAUACCACCACCUAUCAGGCCAGACGAGCGGUCCACGGAGAUGCAUCCCUACUCACCCGGUCUAUGCACAUCGCUCUUUCCAGGAGGUUGGCUACCUAUCCUAGAUCUUCCCAUUUCCAAGAAGAUCCCUUGUUCGAUCUGGUUUAGUAUCAAGGUUCUUCUUUUUCUAUUUCUAUAUAUAUAUGGUUCCGUGCAGCAUUCCCACGAUAUCGUUAUGAUCAAUUAA
rnacentral:rRNA from 1 species